rnacentral:rRNA from 1 species
AUCUAAGGACUGGUACCUUUCGUGCAAGUCGAGCGGGGUAAGGGAGCUUGCUCCCUGAGAUCAGCGGCGGAAGGGUGAGUAACACGUGGGUAACCUGCCUGUAAGACUGGGAUAACUCCGGGAAACCGGGGCUAAUACCGGAUAACUCAGUUCCUCGCAUGAGGAACUGUUGAAAGGUGGCUUUUCGCUACCACUUACAGAUGGACCCGCGGCGCAUUAUCUAGUUGGUGAGGUAACGGCUCACCAAGGCGACGAUGCGUAGCCGACCUGAGAGGGUGAUCGGCCACACUGGGACUGAGACACGGCCCAGACUCCUACGGGAGGCAGCAGUAGGGAAUCUUCCGCAAUGGACGAAAGUCUGACGGAGCAACGCCGCGUGAGUGAAGAAGGUUUUCGGAUCGUAAAACUCUGUUGUUAGGGAAGAACAAGUGCCGUUCGAAUA